UACGUAGGUGGCAAGCGUUGUCCGGAAUUAUUGGGCGUAAAGCGCGCGCAGGCGGCCUCUUAAGUCUGAUGUGAAAGCCCCCCGGCUCAACCGGGGAGGGCCAUUGGAAACUGGGAGGCUUGAGUAUAGGAGAGAAGGGUGGAAUUCCACGUGUAGCGGUGAAAUGCGUAGAGAUGUGGAGGAACACCAGUGGCGAAGGCGACUCUUUGGCCUAUAACUGACGCUGAGGCGCGAAAGCGUGGGGAGCAAACAGG
rnacentral:rRNA from 1 species